AGAGUUUGAUCAUGGCUCAGAUUGAACGCUGGCGGUAUGCUUAACACAUGCAAGUCGAACGGUAACAGGCCUUCGGGCGCUGACGAGUGGCGGACGGGUGAGUAACGCGUAGGAAUCUGCCUCAUAGUGGGGGACAACGUGGGGAAACUCACGCUAAUACCGCAUACGCCUACGGGGGAAAGCGGGGGAUCUUCGGACCUCGCGCUAUGAGAUGAGCCUGCGUUAGAUUAGCUAGUUGGUAGGGUAAAGGCCUACCAAGGCGACGAUCUAUAGCUGGUCUGAGAGGACGAUCAGCCACACUGGGACUGAGACACGGCCCAGACUCCUACGGGAGGCAGCAGUGGGGAAUAUUGGACAAUGGGCGCAAGCCUGAUCCAGCAAUACCGCGUGUGUGAAGAAGGCCUUAGGGUUGUAAAGCACUUUCAAUUGGGAGGAAAACCUGCCGGUCAAUACCCGGUAGCUUGACAUUACCUUUAGAAGAAGCAUCGGCUAACUCCGUG
rnacentral:rRNA from 1 species